rnacentral:rRNA from 1 species
UACCGAGGUCUCAAGCGUUGUUCGGAUUCAUUGGGCGUAAAGGGUGCGUAGGCGGCGGGGCAAGUCGGAUGUGAAAUCUCAGGGCUCAACCCUGAAACUGCAUUCGAUACUGCCUUGCUCGAGGACUGGAGAGGAGAUUGGAAUUCACGGUGUAGCAGUGAAAUGCGUAGAUAUCGUGAGGAAGACCAGUGGCGAAGGCGGAUCUCUGGACAGUUCCUGACGCUGAGGCACGAAGGCCAGGGGAGCAAACGGG